rnacentral:rRNA from 1 species
AUUGAACGCUGGCGGCAGGCUUAACACAUGCAAGUCGAGCGGGGUGAUGGUGCUUGCACUAUCACUUAGCGGCGGACGGGUGAGUAAUGCUUAGGAAUCUGCCUAUUAGUGGGGGACAACAUCUCGAAAGGGAUGCUAAUACCGCAUACGUCCUACGGGAGAAAGCAGGGGAUCACUUGUGACCUUGCGCUAAUAGAUGAGACUAAGUCGGAUUUGCUAGUUGGUGGGGUAAAGGCCUACCAAGGCGACGAUCUGUAGCGCGUCUGAGAGGAUGAUCCGCCACACUGGGACUAAGAGCCGACCCAGCCUCCUACGGGAGGCAGCAGUGGGGAAUUUUGGACAAUGGGGGGAAUCCUGAUCCAGCCAUGCCGCGUGUGUGAAGAAGGCCUUAUGGUUGUAAAGCACUUUAAGCGAGGAGGAGGCUCUUUUGGUUAAUACCCAAGAUGAGUGGACGUUACUCGCAGAAUAAGCACCGGCUAACUCUGUGCCAGCCGCCGCCGUAA